CAGACAGCUCUUACUGACUGAGAAACUACAAACGAGGCAUGACACAUUCUUCUUUCAGGGAAGUCAGGAACAAGGAAUGCUAAGUUCAUACCCUUCAUACCCUUCAGGAAUGGUUGAGAGACACCGGUUUCAAUUCUGUUGGGUACCAGAAUAGGAGUCAAGAGAUACAAGUUAGCAUAUAAAUUUACUUUUUGCCUUUUCAUAUUAAAGUUUCUCCUAGACCAUGAAUAGUGGGUGAUUACAAAUAGACACUGCGAUUUUCUAUACAAAUUGCAAAGCUACAUUUAUUAGGAGGAAAUCAACUUUGUUUCUUCAGAAUGAUUUCCAUGGUUUUUUUCUCACAUCAUAAGAAAAAAGACAGCCAUUUUCUUGCAUAAUGUCAGUCGAAUUAGAGAGUUUUGUAUUGCUCAGCACUGACUCAUAGUCAGUCACAUGUAACACACAUUUUGUAGAUUACCUAAAUGUGCAUUACUAAUAACAAAGCAGCAUAAUCAGGCAUCAUUUUCUCAGAGUGAAGGCUGUGGGCUCAGUGGGUGCAGAUAUCACAAGCUAGUUAACUUCUUUCAUUGUCAAAGUAUACCUGCAACCUGAAGUUGGUAGGGCCCAGGAGGGUGACUGAUACAGCAACUCUCCUAAGGAGAAUGGACAAGGGACAUUGUGAGGCAGAGUGGAGGCUCUAUUGUAAGAGCAAUGGGAUAGUAUUCUCCAGUGCUUUAGGGCAGUGGAUGUCAGUACAUUCCCGGGAAUGCGUGAACAUCCUCCUGCUUAAUAUGGUCUUCAGGAAAUAAAUGUAUCAGGAUGGAUAUUGUUGAAGAUAUGCUGGCUUAGGACUUGAUAGACAAACAAACAAAGACAUGUAAGUGAGAAUGUAUAGGAAUUAAUUUCCUCAGCCAAUUCCUGGGAGAAGGAAUGACCUAUGUUUCACACAAAGAAGGAAAAUCCUUUAAUGCUUGAAACACUACAUGGUGGUAUAAACAUCACAAAUGACACUAAAUACCCAGUGGCCACAGUAGCCUUUAGGUGUUUAGGCAGACUAGUACAUUUCAGCGCAGAGCAGAUGAGUAUCUAAUAGGAAGUCACCCUCAGCAGGAUAAUGAGAGAGAACAUAUGAGUGAACAUAGCAUCUAUCCUGAGGGAAUGUCUGUAACCAGGGAGAACUGCAGGAUGUACUUUAUUUGCUUAAAGUUGACACUACAUGAGCCUUUCCUCUUUAUCCAAAGCUUCCUUUGAAUGGUACAUGGUCCACAACCACUCAGCUGUGGGAGAGGCCACAACCUCACUGCUGGAAAGCAGAAGAGAAAACAGACCGGGGAAGAAACAAACCUAUGAAGCAUCUCUGGACCAAAAGAAACACAUCUGUGUUCCUUGCUCAUUGCAUAUCUACCCCAAAAGAAAGGUUUAUCACAUCUGCAUGGCUGGAGAAGGCAGAGGCUGAGUAUCCAACAGAUCAAGUCAACCACUCUUCCAAUAUGUCACCUGGGAAAUGCCCCCAGAGAAAGGUUGCUAGCAGACUGGAUACCGAGAGGUCCUUGACAUUGAUUUGCAUCCUUGAAACUCUAGUUGGGUGAUCUAAUUGGGAGUAUGUGUUCAAAGAAGCAAAAAGGGAAAAGAGGGUACAGGUACCUACUGCAAACAUGAAGACCUCAGUUUGAUCCCUGGAGUCCACAUGGUAGAAGAAAGGAGCCAAGUCUCCUGUUGUCUUCUACUUCUACAUGCAUACACAAAAUAAGAAGUAAAUAAGUAAAUGUACUAAAAAUAUUAAGUGACAGAAAUGGACAGGUAAAAUUCAGCUUCCACAAAGUUAUUUCUGUCGAGUGAAUUGUUAUUCUUGAUUAUGGACUUAAUACACAGGACUGAAUGAUCAAGUCUUGGGUCAAUGGAUCUUCUAUUAUCUUUGAUGUAUAAAGAAUGACAAUUUUUGUUUAA